rnacentral:lncRNA from 1 species
GGGAGGGGAUAUUUCAGGAGAAUUCCUCAAUGUCCAGGGUGGCAAAGAGCUGGGCAAGGGGAGUGUGUGAGGCCCAGAGCAUAGGAGAAAUUCUGUGGCAGAGACCACCACCGAAAGAAGCCAUACUCUCAACUCCAAGUUCUCCAGUGUUCACUCCUCUUCAGAGAAUACUGCACAGGGACCUUUGCAGGAACAAAGGAGAGGGGCAAAGUCGGGUUAACCUUCUUCGGGCUCACUGGCUAGCGUGUUCUCCGUGCCCAACUCUUGUCAUCAAUUGGAGAGAAGAAAGAAUGUUCUUCUGAAACGUCUGUCCCUUCAGACUCAUGGAGCCUUUAUCUCUUUGGACAUUUGGUUUUCUCAUUCCUGAAGUCAUAGCAA